rnacentral:rRNA from 1 species
CAGUCGAGAAUUUUUCACAAUGGGCGAAAGCCUGAUGGAGCGACGCCGCGUGGGGGAUGAAUGGCUUCGGCCCGUAAACCCCUGUCAUUCGCGAGCAAACGUUAUUAUUUAAAAGAUGAUAGCCUGAUAGUAGCGAAAGAGGAAGGGACGGCUAACUCUGUGCCAGCAGCCGCGGUAAUACAGAGGUCCCAAGCGUUGUUCGGAUUUACUGGGCGUAAAGGGUGCGUAGGUGGUGGGGUAAGUCGGAUGUGAAAUCUCCGAGCUCAACUCGGAAAGUGCAUUGGAAACUACCCUGCUCGAGGGUUGGAGGGGGGACUGGAAUACUUGGUGUAGCAGUGAAAUGCGUAGAUAUCAAGUGGAACACCAGUGGCGAAGGCGAGUCCCUGGACAACUCCUGACACUGAGGCACGAAAGCUAGGGGAGCAAACAG